UGGACAUGGCAGGGAUCAGCUUCGUCCUA
rnacentral:sRNA from 1 species